GACGAACGCUGGCGGCGUGCCUAACACAUGCAAGUCGAGCGAGUGAAUCUCCUUCGGGAGUGAAGCUAGCGGCGGACGGGUGAGUAACACGUGGGCAACCUGCCUCAUAGAGGGGAAUAGCCUUUCGAAAGGAAGAUUAAUACCGCAUAAGAUUGUAGCUUCGCAUGAAGUAGCAAUUAAAGGAGCAAUCCGCUAUGAGAUGGGCCCGCGGCGCAUUAGCUAGUUGGUGAGGUAACGGCUCACCAAGGCGACGAUGCGUAGCCGACCUGAGGGGGUGAUCGGCCACAUUGGGACUGAGGCACGGCCCAGACUCCUACGGGAGGCAGCAGUGGGGAAUAUUGCACAAUGGGGGAAACCUUGAUGCAGCAACGCCGCGUGAGUGAUGACGGCCUUCGGGUUGUAAAGCUCUGUCUUCAGGGACGAUAAUGACGGUACCUGAGGAGGAAGCCACGGCUAACUGCGUGCCAGCAGCCGCCGUAA
rnacentral:rRNA from 1 species